rnacentral:lncRNA from 1 species
UGAAGUCACGUAUUGUUGAUAACGAGAAAGUUAAUUACAGUAACUUCGCUAAUUACGCACGUAAGUACGGAAAUUUCUCUGUAUCCAGAGGCGGCCAAUCCAUACACUCGAAUAGUAAACGUAACGUUACUGUGAUUUUUA